AAGGUUAGAUGUUAGGUUCUUUCCCAAAGGCAUUUCCCAAGCGUUGCCACUUGGGAAAUUGAUACUUGGGAAGUCGCCCUUAUAUGGGGAAUGUAUGUUACUACAAAGAAUUCCUACAGUUCUAGAUACUAUAUUCGUUGAAAUAUAAAAAAAAAAAUUU